GUUCCUAUACCUGGAUAGCUCAGUUGGUUAGAGUGUGGUGCUGUUAAUUCCAAAGCUGCAGGUUUGAUCCCCAUAUGGGACA